CCUCAAAAUGAAAUUGGUUUGUGCGAAAAAAAGAAAAAAAAAUAGCGACGAAGGGGAAACGCAUCAAGCGCUGCAAUUUGGAGACGGAGCUUAGGAAGUUGGGGCUUUGAAGAGAAGAACCCCACGCCUCCUCUGCCAUGGGGCUUUUGAAGCUUCAUCUUGGAGCUUCCAUCUUCUACAUGUAGGUUGAGCAAAGGAUUAUGCGAAGAGAUGUGGAUGGCUCUAUAAUAAGGCAUGAUGGAAGGCCAAGUCAAAAGGUUGGAGGUGCAGCUAUUGAGUCAUAUGUAGCAUCAAAUUUUUUUGAAAACAGUGCAAGAGAUGCAGUUAGACACCCAACCUAGCCAAAGCUCAAACACUUCAUCAAGGAAGUGUGUUUGGUGCGUCGGGUUUAUCUUGUAGAUGAUAACAGUUAGUCAUAGGGGAUUUUUUGGAUUAGUAUUAUAGAUAAUGAAUGUACCCUUGGGCUACUUUUUUGUUUUUUAUAUGUAAAGUAGUUGUUGGCCAAGCAAUGUAUAUUGUCUGAAAAAAUGUGUUCAUGUUAGAAGAUUAUAUAUAAAGAAGUAAUUGUGGCUCGAGUUCCACACAAGAUAUUAGGAGAUUUCAAUUAUAUUUUAUUAAAAAUGUUCAGUUUACAUUUUUAUUUAAAUAUAGGAUUGGUAUUUAAUGAUAGCAUUGGAUAUUAGCUCUUGAUUUAUAUUCAAUAAUAUAUUAGAAUUAUUGUUCAUGGAUGUAUCUCAUUAUAAUUUGUUAGCAAAAUAUGCGGGUGCUCUUUCAACGGUCUGAGUAGUCUUUACCUAGAAAAAUUUGAUUUGAUAUCCCAUAAGUUAGAUUAUUGGAUGUGUGAUAUAUCUAAGAAUCAUUAUGAUCUAAUAGCUUCUUCAUGAUGUUAAUUAUGCCAAAAUUUGUUUUAUUUUCAAAUUCCUGAAAAUGAGAUCCUCGAAAAUAUCGUUCCUUAGCAACAUUUUUUAUGCCAUGAACCAAAAAAGAUCACUACAAGGUUAACAACUUAAAAGACAUUUCACUUCACCUCCUUUACUUAGGAGUUACCCUCUUAAUGUACUUCUUCUUAAACCUUAGGCUACAUCUUUUAAUGCCAAGGCAGCUUUUGCCUUCUCCUAUUUUACAUACCCACUAUGGCAUUAAAUGCACUUAAAGCGUCCCAAAUUUAUGAAAUAAUGUUAAAACUAUAAUGACUAUAAUAUAACCUAUUCUUUGUAAUAAGAAAAAAAAGUUCUUUUAUUUUUUUAUUUUUUGAGAACAUGUCUUAGUAAGUCAAAGCACAAUGAUAUACGUGAUUGAGCAGUACACAACCUAUGCAAAGUCUUCACUAUAUCUUCGGUGACAAAAUCAUCUUUGGAAUGUUAGACUUAACUAAGGAUGUAAAUGGAUAUAGAUUGGUGGAUAUCCUGUCCCAAUCUGCCCCAUAGCUUCAAUAGUUUCAGAACGAUUUAAUAUAGUUGGGAUGAAUUUCGUGACUCAAGGUGCAUUUAGCCAAGAAAAAUGUAAUUUUUUUCAUCCAAGUAUUGCACCACUUGUUAGGUCCAGCCCAAUUUUUUUUUUAAAAAGAGCCCAAGUUUUAUUUUUAUUUUUAAAGCCCAUUAGGGCUGACCAUUUACAAGAUUGAUGCAAUGCUAGAGAGAAUUAAGAGGAGAGGUAGAUUAGUGCGACAAUUUUAAAACAGAGAGGAGUUCCAGAUCUUCAGUUAGAGCAGUUUUGAUGAAAAGGUCAAUCAGGGCGUCAUUUGUGGUCCGAUUUUACUGAAAUUUUGAUAGCACGUUCAGGACUCAUCGAUAUUCAAUCUGAACAGUGGAGAUCUAUUUUGGAGCUCCGGAGACCUAGAUUUUGUGUCCAAAACAGUAGCUGUGUUUUGGGUGAUAUCUUGCAAGCUUCUUGCUAUUUAUUUGUGAUUCUUUUAUAUAUAUAUAUAUAUAUAUGUAUAUAUUUGGAAAUCUGUUUUUGUUCUAAGUUCGUGAGUAUUUUGUGGUGUUUGAACUGUUAUAAACUUACCCUUAAAUUAUAGUAGAGUUUUUUUAUUAGGUCUCAUAGGCCACAUGAUUUUUACCCUUCACAUUGAAGGGGUUUUCCACAUUAAAAUCGUCUCUAUUAGGUCUGAUUUUUCAUGUGCUUUUGGGUGAUUUUUCGUGUGCUUUUGGCAAAUUCUCAGUUAUUUUUUUUGCUAAGAUUAUUGGUUGUCAUUAUUGGAUAUUUUUUUCUUCACUAGUUUACUAGUAGGGAAAGAUUUGUCCAUUGCUUUGAUUUCAUUUGUUGCCUUGUUUCUUUCCCAAUAAAGUGAUAUCAGAGUCAAGUUCAUUUAUUCUUUGUAUGAACAUGGAUAUCAACACAAGUAAGAUGAUAAAUUUAAAUGGCACAAAUUAUCAGUUGUGGAGUAAUAAGAUGAAAGAUAUUCUAUUUGUGAAGGUUCUGCAUUUACCUGUUUUUGCUACUCAAAAACCCAAAUCCAAGACUAAUGAGGAAUAGGAUUUUGAGCAUAGGCAAGUUUGCAGAUUUAUUCGACAUUUUGUUGGAGAGAAUGUUUGAAUCAUAUUCAACAUGACACACAUGCACAAACUUUGUGGGAGAAACUUGAAAAUUUGUGUGCUUCAAAGACUGGCAAUAAUAAAUUGUUUUUACUUAAAAAGAUGAUCCAACUAAAAUAUAAAGAAGAAAAUUUUGUGGCUAAUCAUUUAAAUAAAUUUCAAGGAGUUAUUGAUCAAAUGUCAGGUAUAGGCAUACAAUUUGAUGAUGAGAUUAUAGGACUUCAGAUACUUACUACUGUACCUAAUUCUUGGGAAACUUUUCGAGUUUCACUUGUUAAUUAUGCUCCGAAUGGUACUGUGGCUAUGGAACUUGUCAAGAGUAAUGUUUUUGAAUAAAGAAAUGAGAAGAAGAUCUCAUGGUUCAUCCCAAUCUGAGGUGCUUGUUACAGAAAACAUGGGGAGAAGUAAACAUAAAAAUGAAAGGGGUAGAGAUAAAAAUCGAAGCAAGUCAAGGUCAAGAUUUAAAAAAAAAAUUGGGUGUCAUUAUUGCGGUAACAUUGGUCAUAUUAAAAAUUAUUGCUAUAAAUGGAAGAGAGAAAAUAAGGGUGACAGUGAUAAGCAAAAGAAGAAGGAUCAUGAAAAUAAUAAUUGUGUUACCACUACUAUUGCAAAUGAUUUUGUUCUUGACUAUGAUGAUAAUGUGAUUAAUAUUGUUUGUCAUGAGAUAAGUUGGAUGGUUGAUAGUGGUGUCUCUUUUCAUGUGACUUCAAGGAAGGAUUUCUUCACAUCUUGUACUCUUGGUGAUUCUAGGGCUCUAAAAAUGGGAAAUGAUUCAAUAGUACCGAUAGUAGGCAUUGGGACUGUUUUCUUAGAGACCAACAUUGGAACAAGGUUGAUACUCAAUGAUGUCAAGCAUGCGCUUAGUGUUCGUUUGCAUUUGAUCUUUAUUGAAAGACUUAAUGAUGAUGGCUAUUGUAAUUUCUUUGGUAAUGGACAAUGGAGACUUACUAGAAGCAAUAUAGUUGUGGCCCGGGGUAAUAAAUUUUCUCAUUUAUGCUUUGAUGAAUGCUUUUAUUUCUAUAAAUUUUGUGAAUGUGGUUGAGAGUGUCAACUCAUCAGAAUUAUGGUACAAGAGGCUGUCACAUUAGUGAGAAAGGACUCAAUUGUUUGGCCGAGAAGAAUUUGUUGUCAGGGUUGAAAUGUGCAAAGCCGAAAAGAUGGGUUCACUACUUGGUUGGGAAGCUGAAAAGGUUUUCAUUCAAGAACCAUAUUCCUUCUAGAAAAACAUAAACAUAGUUACUUAAAUUGAUACAUGUGAUGUUUGCGGUCCAAUGAAGGUAAGGACAUAUGGUGGUGCACUUUAUUUUGUUACUUUUAUUGAUACCAAUUAAAGGAAACUUUGGCUUUAUGCUUUAAAAUCCAAAGAUUAGGUGCUUGAAACUGAAAUGUAUUUGCACUGAUAAUAGUGGUGAAUAUUGUGGCCCAUUUUAUGUGUAUUGUAGACAACAGGACAUUAGACAUCAGAAAACACCUCCAAAAAAUUCUUAGUUGAAUGGUUUGGCAAAAAGGGUGAACAGAACAUUGGUAGUAAGAGUCAGAUACUUGCUUCUAGAAGCAAAACUACCUAUAUCAUUCUAGGGUGAGACAUUAUAUACUGUUGCACAUGUGAUUGAUCUAUCUCCCACUUGCAUUGCAGGUGUUCUUGACAGAGUUUGGUAUUGGAAGGAUGUUUACUAUGACCACUAGCAUGUAUUUGGCUGCAAAGUUUUUGUACAUGUGCAUAAGGAUGAGAGAUCUAAGUUAGAUAUCAAAACAAGGCAAGGAUGACGUGAAGACAGAUGUUCAGAAUGAUUAUGUUGAGGAAGAUCAUGAAGUUGUAAAUGAGGAAGAUGCUCCUAUGCACGAGACUGCUGAUGAUCAAUCAGAACUAACUAUUGAACAACUACAACUCCACUUAAAAGAUUGAUAGGUUGAAGAAGGAGCAUUUUAAAUCUUUUGCAAUGAAAGAUUUAGGAUCAACAAAUCAAAUCGUUGGAAUUAGGAUCACUUGUGAUAGAAAGAAGAAGAAAUUGUGACUGUCUCGCGAGAAGUACAUUGAGAAGAUACUUCAAUGGUGUUGCAUGGAAAAAGCUAACGUGGGUGAGUUGUGGCUUGGCAAUCCAAGUUGCAGAAAUGUGUUGCCUUGUCUACCACAAAAGCUGAGUUCAUUGCAACUAUGGAGGCAUGCAAAAAGUUACUGUGGAUGACGAAGCUUGUGCAUAAACUUGGGAUCAUUUGAAAGAGGGUUGAAUCAAGAUUACAAGGGUGGGAAGUACCUAUUAAGGUUGUAAGGAAGAGAAUAAAAUUCUGCAGUUCUUGUAUCCACAUUGAAGAACCUGAACCUUACCCACCAAUGCCUGCCUGAGUCUUGCCAAAUCGAGCUGUGCCCAAGGCCAAGUGUGCAGUCCAAGAAAGUUGCAACAAUAGCUGCCACUGUUGCUGGGGAUGAAAAGAUUACUUGCACUAUAUUGUUGAACUGCAGGUAGGGAAUGUCAAUAUGGUCGUAAUUAGUCUUCUAGUUCUAGCCUAAAAUUUUCAUGCAAGCAAGAACACAAGCUGUGAUGAAAUAUACGCACCGACGUGGAUCCAGUGUGCAGAGGACCGCGACCAGAAAGAAGCAAAUAUUCAUGGAAGUACUGUGGGACUGAUAGACCCAUGAAUAGGGAAAAGCCUAGUAUAAAUUUUGUCCUGAAGCUGUUCAAGUUGCAAAACUGCAGGAGACUGAGGCCUGCCGAAGCUGCUGACAGGACAACAUUUCACAAUAGGUAAUCAAGAAGGGCAUUUGUUAAAAAAUUUGACAUGUAACUUUUUCAAUCUUACUAAGAAACCUGCAUGUUCUUUGUCGAAAUUAGGAAGCAUGUUUGUUUGGAGUUGAUGAAAUUAUUGAACUAUUGAACUUCAAAGUUUAAUUUGAAUUCUUUUCAUUAA